GAUGAACGCUGGCGGCGUGCCUAAUACAUGCAAGUCGAGCGAACAGACGAGGAGCUUGCUCCUCUGACGUUAGCGGCGGACGGGUGAGUAACACGUGGAUAACCUACCUAUAAGACUGGGAUAACUUCGGGAAACCGGAGCUAAUACCGGAUAAUAUAUUGAACCGCAUGGUUCAAUAGUGAAAGACGGUUUUGCUGUCACUUAUAGAUGGAUCCGCGCCGCAUUAGCUAGUUGGUAAGGUAACGGCUUACCAAGGCAACGAUGCGUAGCCGACCUGAGAGGGUGAUAGGCCACACUGGAACUGAGACGCGGUCCAGACUCCUGCGGGAGGCAGCAGUAGGGAAUCUUCCGCAAUGGGCGAAAGCCUGACGGAGCAACGCCGCGUGAGUGAUGAAGGUCUUCGGAUCGUAAAACUCUGUUAUUAGGGAAGAACAAAUGUGUAAGUAACUAUGCACGUCUUGACGGUAACUAAUCAGAAAGCCACGGCUAACUACGUG
rnacentral:rRNA from 1 species